rnacentral:lncRNA from 1 species
CAGUGUAACUGACUCCAUGUUAUGGGGGAGGGGUGCCUUCCAGUUGUGUGCUGGCCGACUGCAUUCACAUUCACUUCAGGCCGAAGGGACCAUGCCCCUUUCUAAAACUUGGACCAGUGAGAAAGAAAGAAUGGGAAGCUGUUUGGAUACGUGGACACCUGCAGGGUUUAGCUUCAGAGAUAGGAACAUGGCAUCUCAAGGAAGUUUCCCUUCCCCUCUGGAGAGCAGAAUGCCAGCUCUCAAUGAGUGAUGGGGCAGAGGAUCACAGCCCUAGGGAGACUACAGACCAAGUAAGGAAAAUGUUCCAAAGAGGAUGAAGAUGGCGGAGGACCAGGGAGGCGGUGACUGCUCUGUGAGAACAGAGCUGUUACUUCAAGAGGGGACUAUUAUUUCCAGAUGAAGAAAGCUGUCUGGUUGAAAGAUGGAUCUCAUGGAGGCAUUUCCUCACCUGAAGCUCUGUGACAACUCUGUGACAACUGAAGCUCUGUGACAACUCCAGUCUGUGUCAAGUUGACACAAAACCAGCCAGUACACUAGGCUUUCUUGAACAUGAGCAGCCUUCAGGACAUGGCACGAGAAGCCACCCAGACUCUCUAGAAAUCCAGGAAUCAUUACUGGGCCUACAGCAUAACUGCCAGCUUGUGAACACUACGCUCAAUUUUGGAGAAGCAUCAAUGUAUCAACAUCGAAGGGAGUGAAGCUACCUUCUCCUUCAUUCUCUGUUCUCUGGCUUUAAAAAUGGUCUAAAGUUCCCAUAAUUCAUCAUCUUUGACCGGGAUCCUGAGCCUCCAGGAUGUCCUUAUCUUCCCAGCAAGAUGACUUGGCUUGCGGGGCAUGGUGGCGCUCGCCUUUAAUCCCAGCACUUGGGAGGCAGAG